AUCUAUUGUGUACAUCUAUGCAAAGCAAUAAUUUUACAUACCUUUUACAGUCAGUUUGGGUUCAUUCUGCAUUAAUUGAAGAUUUGCAUGUUCCUGUACAGUAGAAAAAUAAAACUUUAUUACAAUAAAGUACGGCCUAAAACAGAAACGGAGAUGGGCAAGGCAUAUAAUUAAGUACGAGCAUGAGAUAGAUCACGUUAAAAUGGCUACGUUCUACACGUAAAAGAUGCAUUGGAAGACAAAGAAAAAGGUUGACGAAAUCAUGAAAGUGGCAGGAAAUAGAUGGAAGCUGCUACGGAUCGUAAUGGCUGGAAUAUAAUGGUAGAGGUUUUUACCCAUGGGGGUCCGUACAAUAAAACAUAUAAAAAAAACUUUCGGUAAUAUUGAAAAAAACAUUCCUAUAAAGCAUACAAAAAUAAAGCUAUAAUAAUAAUAGAUGUGAAUUUUGUAAAAAAAUAAAAUAAUAACCACGUUGUGAUGUAAAAAAUAAAAAUGCAAAUGGACGUUAAAUUUAUCAAAAUGAAUUUUUGUUGAACAAAGAAAGCAGUUACUUUACGAUAUUAAACAUUUUAAAUCGUUAA